AAAGGAAUAGACGGGGGCCCGCACAAGCGGAGGAACAUGUGGUUUAAUUCGAUGAUACGCGAGGAACCUUACCCGGGCUUGAAAUGCAGAAGACCGAAGUAGAGAUACUUCUUCCAGCAAUGGCUUCUGUGUAGGUGCUGCAUGGUUGUCGUCAGCUCGUGCCGUGAGGUGUCGGCUUAAGUGCCAUAACGAGCGCAACCCUUGCCAAUAGUUGCUAACAGAUCAUGCUGAGGACUUUAUUGGGACUGCCAUCGUAAGAUGCGAGGAAGGUGGGGAUGACGUCAAAUCAGCACGGCCCUUACGUCCGGGGCGACACACGUGUUACAAUGGAGAGUACAGAGGGCAGCUACCUGGUGACAGGAUGCAAAUCUCUUAAAGCUCUUCUCAGUUCGGAUCGAAGUCUGCAACUCGACUUCGUGAAGCUGGAUUCGCUAGUAAUCGCGCAUCAGCCAUGGCGCGGUGAAUACGUUCCCGGGCCUUGUACACACCGCCCGU
rnacentral:rRNA from 1 species